ensembl:lncRNA
AGAUGUGCUUUACCCCAUUCCACUCACCCAUCAUCUAAUUUCCUUUCUGUCAGUGGUAAUGGUAUUUGGAGUGUGUUUCUACAUGUGAGGGCUUUCGUGUUGUACUCUACAUGGGCCAUAAUUCUCCAAGUGAGGAAGCUGACUGCACAGGUGAACUGUAGAGUGGUGGAGAGAAUCAGUGUCUGUGAACUCACCCUUUGAGAGAACAGUCCAGAAGCAUCUGUUAUCAGACAGUAAACUGGAGCACCAAAAAGACUGGCUAACAAACGUUUCUCCAGCAUAUCCCUGUUGAAAGCAAAUCCACAAGACAGCCAUUAAGUCUUUCAUAAUUAACGGCAAUGAGGAGAGGAGCUGAGGAGCAGUCCCUCGCUGCACUGAUCUGGAUUUUAAUACCCUCCACAAGCAGCAACAGUGGUGUUUCAGGGCCAGCAACUGCCAGGUAUUCCUCAGAGCUUGUCACCACUCAAGCGUGCAGUUGUCCUUGCCAGGGGGAUUCUGGCUUGUAGAAUACAACCAGGCUGUGCAGCCUGCGUCACCCAGAUUCAUCCAAAGCAGACAACAAUGAUCUGCCUUUCCCUCAGUACAUUGGAGAUGCUCUGGAAAUCUCUGCGGGAAACUACACCCAAGUACUCUGCCAGACAGCUACCUGGGAUGAAGGAAACUGUAUUUGAAUCAUUCUGAUUUGCUUCGUGGUUAUGAAAGCAAAAUCUGUCUGAUGUUUAGGACACGUUUUAGAAAGACACUCUAAUCUUUUUGAAUAGCAUUGCAUCUUGCUGGAAAGAUUACACCUGAUGUACUGCCUACCACAGAACUGUAGAAAUUGAUAUUUGGAAAAGAACCUUGAGCAUUGCCAUAACGUGUCGUAUGAAAUUCCACGAUGUGGUGUUUUUGCAAUGUGAUGUGAUCAUUAAAAUACUUAAAUAGGGAAGAGGCUUCUGGGAAAAGAUGGAUACGAGCAAAAGGCAAUGCAGUGACUGGAAACUGAAGAAAGGGAAUUUGGGGUAUAAGCAAAGUAUAAACUCUUGUCCAUGAAAGUACCUAUUGCAACUAUUUACAUAAGCUUUCCAUCAGUUGAGAUGUCUUAAUCAAAAAAUGAAUGUAUUUCUAAAAGGUAGUUUAGAGAUAAAGCAGAAGAUACUAUUCUGUUGAUGGAACCACCAAUUGCAAUUGCUUGGCCUAUCCUAUGGAAAAGCCUUGACUACAGUAUUGCAGUGGUUCCUCUGGGCUUUAAGAUCUCUGGAAACAUCAUCAGUUUACAGCAGUUUAGUCUUUGUUUUACCUCUCCUGUUUCUAAUAGGCUGAUUUUCAGCUUUCAGCCACAUGUGGCUUCUUUAUGUCUAGAAGCGUCUGCAUUGAACAGUCUCCUUCCUUCUGCGUACAGGGCAUCUUCAAUGGAAAAUUUUGCUCUUUUGAAAAAAUACUGAUCCAGGCAAAGAACAAAAUAUGGUUCUAUUUAGCCUACUGUGAUGAUGACAUUUUCCUCUGAGAUAGCUUUCUCAGUAAGUGAUGUUUCCACAACUUCCUUUGAGAGAAUACUGAAAACAAACAUUCAGAGAACCUGCCUCUCACCAUUGGCAGACCCCCGUGGGCUGCAAAGUUCACUGUGGCUACCCUGAGCUACAAAAGGAAUGGUAGAUGUGGAGUGCUGAGUGAUGGAGGGCAUGUGUGCUGAAUGUUCAGAAAGCACUGUCUUGUAAUAUUGGAGAUGUGACAAGGGAGCAGGAAUCUGUGUUUAUGUCUGAGUAAUUCGGAUAUGAAACACUGAAAGGCGCUGCGUGGGAGAUGUAGCCAGCAGUACCAGUGAAAUCCACGUGUGGGUGCCAUAAAUGGCAACCAAAAAGGACUUCUCAGCAAGAUCUACAAUUUGCAGACUAAUAUGGACUCUUGAGCUUUGCCGGCAAACUCAAGAAGCCAAUGCCUACCUUAUUCCCUGCCUUGUCCUGCUUCACAUCUAUUGCCUGUGUUUACAUCCAUGUGAAACAAGUGAUCCUUCAUUUAUAACUGACUGCAUUUCACAUGGCUGGCUUUACCUCCUAGCUCCAAGGUGGCAAUGGGCCGCUCUCCAUAAUAGAGAGAGCUUUCACAAAAAAUAAAACCACUCUUCUUUCUCCUCACCCAUCACCUUCCUGAUAGUUCCUCCACCUGAAGACUCAAACUGUAAACAUGUGGGAGAAACAGCUUUUCUGACUGGGUGAGAAAUGUGACAUAAAAGUUAUGCUCCAUUUUUGUCAACGUCUGCAGUUUAUCUAAAUAGUUUGCAAUUAUCCCCUCAACUUAACACCUCUGGGAAGCUGGAGCUAAGGUUGCAUAUGUUGCCUGUAAUUUAGGAACCUGAUAAAAAUAUAGAUAACAUUGGUUAAAUAAAAUGAAUCUGAACU